UGGUGGAGCGAUUUGUCUGGUCAAUUCCGAUAUCGAACGAGACUCUAGCCUACUAAAUAGUUCGGGGACCCCCACAAAGGGGCCCCGCUUCAACUUCUUAGAGGGACAGGUGGCGUUUAGCCACACGAGAUUGAGCAAUAACA
rnacentral:rRNA from 1 species